UGAGGAAUAUUGGUCAAUGGACGCAAGUCUGAACCAGCCAUGCCGCGUGAAGGAUGAAUGCCCUAUGGGUUGUAAACUUCUUUUCUACGGGACGAACCGCCUGCUCGUGAGCAGGUCUGACGGUACCGUAUGAAUAAGCAACGGCUAACUCCGUGCCAGCAGCCGCGGUAAUACGGAGGUUGCAAGCGUUAUCCGGAUUUAUUGGGUUUAAAGGGUGCGUAGGCGGGAUUAUAAGUCAGUGGUGAAAACCUGCAGCUUAACUGUAGAACUGCCAUUGAUACUGUAAUUCUUGAGUAUAGUUGAGGUGGGCGGAAUGUGUAGUGUAGCGGUGAAAUGCUUAGAUAUUACACAGAACACCGAUUGCGUAGGCAGCUCACUAAACUAAAACUGACGCUGAGGCACGAAAGCGUGGGGAGCAAACAGG
rnacentral:rRNA from 1 species